CAAGGCAUGCUAUUUUUAUCGAUUAGCUACUUUCUUUUCUUGGUAUAAAUUUUUGAAGUGUUAGGGAGUUGCAGAUUCUGUGAUCGCGCAUUUGAUUUUUUGAGAGUCCAACACUCUGGUUCCUAAUUAAUAAUUAAUGCAUUUUCUAAACAUGCUGUGUGCCGGAUAUCGAGGUAGUCUGGGUGAGGCCGGUUCAGCCCUGACCCAUGACCUCCUUCAUGCUCUAGACCAGGUCAGAAGCAGGCAUGGAGAUCUGCACCAUAGUGCAAGGGGAGAGGGGGAUUUUUCAUUUUAUUGUCAGUUAUCUAGGGUACGCAUGCAACCAUGGGAAUAUACCUAAUGCCAAGGGAACUUUUGUGGUUGCUGGAUAUGUCUAUUUACAUUAAAAUUCAUGUUUGGUGGCCGAUAUUGACAUCAGGUCUGAGAAAUAGAGGUGGAUGGGGAGCACGCACUUUAAAUU